CCCAAAGGUGUUUAGGGUUGGUCGUCGACUUCUUCUUCCAGAAGCAACCUCUCCGAUGUAUAACUCACGAAACCAAACCGUCGAUCCAAGCUCUGUAACGCCUCUCAAUCCAUAAAUCCUUUCUUUACUCUGAGUUUUCCUCAAUUAAUCCACUCCGCCCAUGUUAAUCAAACAAAAUACCUCUUCAUUUUCCACCGUAACUGGUUCGAGCUUCCCUAUAAAUGUCCCACUAAAACCUAUUUGUAUGUUUCCGGUUUGUCUUAAACUUAUCUGUCAAAUAUGGCUACUUCUCACAUCCAAAUCCAAUUUUCCGAGUUGAAGGACGGACGAUGCAAACAAAAGUUCAGAGCAGACACAUACAAUUUUGGGAAGCUGGGAAUUUUUAUAAAGGUGGGAGCUGAUGGGUGUCGAUAGCUAAUUGAUGCGAAGGCCACUCUCAUCCAAGGGUUAAUCCGACCUUCAAGUUUGCUGAUGCCCCAAUAUUUAUUAGAUUCUCGGAGCAGUCUGUUUUCUAUGAGGUAGCAGAAACGAAUGAGCCAAUCCAGAAGGAGAGUUUCAGGUUCCGAAAAUACGACGAGCUCAUGUCACUUGCCAACACCGACACCAAAACUUAUUUGCUAGGUUUGGAGUACUAAACAUCCUUUUCAAUUAGUCAAUGUAGGAAUUUAAAAGAUGACAGUGAAAUUACUUUAAUGGUUGUCUUCGUUAACAGAUAUCAUUUGUGAAGUACGAGGCAUCAAAACCAUUUACAACAAGGCUACACAUGGCACUCAACGCCUCAUGGCUACCAUUUAGCUUGAUAGGCAUUUCACAAAUCACCUUCUUCUUUGAGUGUUUAUGUUUAACAAAAAUGAGGCUUACUAUAUUCUCACACGAUGAUAUGCAUUUUAAUAACCAAUAUCAACCCAAAGUUAGUUGGUGUCGGCUGUUUCUCAACGCAACUUUGGACAUUCAUUUCUAUUUUGACAACGACUGUGUAGCUAGCAUCAACUACCUGAAAAAGGUAUGUGGCUUUGACGAGGGAUCAUCCUCAGCUCCAACAAAGUAUAAUGGUGUUAAAAAGAUUGAAUCAAUUCCACUGUCCGAACUUAAUUCCCACGUCCUCACUGCAUCACCAGAGGCAGUAGAGUUCAUUUGCACAGCUGUUGUCAAUGGUAUUAAGACUGGAAAUGGGUGAUGCUAUAUUUCAUGCUCGAAAUACUACCGAAAGCUCAAACUUGGAUUCUCAGCUUUCACAUGCCAUGCAUAUCAAGAUGACAAUGCAAUGGGUAUUGUAAGAUGCAUAUGACUGCUGAGUUUGUAGCUUUUGACAGUGAAAUGACCAGGCUUACAAAUGUCAAUGUCAUCCAUUCAAGUGUCAGGGCAGUAGGCGUAUCUCAGCUAAUGAACGAGGGCGACCAAGACAUCCAAGAAUUAGCACUUCCCCAAAGCCUUCCAUCUCAACCUCUCCCAAUUCAACUUCUCAUCAAAACAUCAGAGCUCCACAGCGUCCCGCAUCUUUGAUCGCAACCAGCGCCCUCCUCUACCUAAUUUUGACGCCAACGUGUGUAUGACUGUUAUAAUAGGUUUAGCUGCUCUGCAAAGUUGUUGCUUCUUGACUGAGUUUUCACUUUCACAUGGAGGGAAUAACAACCCAUGGAGGAAGAACCUAGCGCUAAGAAGAGCCGGACUGAGUUAAAUUUGUCCGACUGUCGCAGCUAUUUUGGCAAUGAGCCAUCCUUUGAUGAUUUCUGCAUUUCAAUGACUUCUACAAAUUCUAUUUUGAGUUUUUUUUUGCACAAACCCUAAUAGAAUUUAUUUCAUGUAUUUUUCCCUUUAAAUAAUUUCAUAAUCGUUGCAAUGCAAGCAGCCUGGUCAAAAGGCUACACUAAGGUAAUA